rnacentral:rRNA from 1 species
GACGAACGCUGGCGGCGUGCUUGACACAUGCAAGUCGAACGGAAAGGCCCUGCUUUUGUGGGGUGCUCGAGUGGCGAACGGGUGAGUAACACGUGAGUAACCUGCCCUUGACUUUGGGAUAACUUCAGGAAACUGGGGCUAAUACCGGAUAGGAGCUCCUGCUGCAUGGUGGGGGUUGGAAAGUUUCGGCGGUUGGGGAUGGACUCGCGGCUUAUCAGCUUGUUGGUGGGGUAGUGGCUUACCAAGGCUUUGACGGGUAGCCGGCCUGAGAGGGUGACCGGCCACAGUGGGACUGAGAUACGGCCCAGACUCCUACGGGAGGCAGCAGUGGGGAAUAUUGCACAAUGGGCGGAAGCCUGAUGCAGCAACGCCGCGUGCGGGAUGACGGCCUUCGGGUUGUAAACCGCUUUCGCCUGUGACGAAGCGUGAGUGACGGUAAUGGGUAAAGAAGCACCGGCUAACUACGUG